rnacentral:tRNA from 1 species
GCUGGCGUAGCUUAACUAAAGCAUAACACUGAAGCUGUUAA